CCUACGGGAGGCAGCAGUGAGGAAUCUUGCGCAAUGGGCGAAAGCCUGACGCAGCCACGCCGCGUGCCGGAUGAAGGCCCUAUGGGUUGUAAACGGCUUUUACUAGGGAAGAACGAGAGGGUUUCGAUCUUCUGUGACGGUACCUAGUGAAUAAGCACCGGCUAACUCCGUGCCAGCAGCCGCGGUAAUACGGAGGGUGCAAGCGUUGUCCGGAAUCAUUGGGUGUAAAGGGUACGUAGGCGGGAGCCUAAGUCUGGGGUGAAAUCUUGCCGCUUAACGGUAAAAUGGCCCUGGAUACUGGGUUUCUUGAGUGCAGAAGAGGCAGGUGGAAUUCGUGGUGUAGCGGUGAAAUGCUUAGAUAUCACGAAGAACAUCAGUGGCGAAGGCGGCCUGCUGGUCUGCAACUGACGCUGAGGUACGAAAGCGUGGGGAGCGAACAG
rnacentral:rRNA from 1 species